rnacentral:rRNA from 1 species
GAUGGCGAAGGCAGAUCUCUGGCCGUAACUGACGCUGAGGAGCGAAAGGGUGGGGAGCAAACAGGCUUAGAUACCCUGGUAGUCCACCCCGUAAACGUUGGGAACUAGUUGUGGGGUCCAUUCCACGGAUUCCGUGACGCAGCUAACGCAUUAAGUUCCCCGCCUGGGGAGUACGGCCGCAAGGCUAAAACUCAAAGGAAUUGACGGGGACCCGCACAAGCGGCGGAGCAUGCGGAUUAAUUCGAUGCAACGCGAAGAACCUUACCAAGGCUUGACAUAUACGAGAACGGGCCAGAAAUGGUCAACUCUUUGGACACUCGUAAACAGGUGGUGCAUGGUUGUCGUCAGCUCGUGUCGUGAGAUGUUGGGUUAAGUCCCGCAACGAGCGCAACCCUCGUUCUAUGUUGCCAGCACGUAAUGGUGGGAACUCAUGGGAUACUGCCGGGGUCAACUCGGAGGAAGGUGGGGAUGACGUCAAAUCAUCAUGCCCCUUAUGUCUUGGGCUUCACGCAUGCUACAAUGGCCGGUACAAAGGGCUGCAAUACCGUGAGGUGGAGCGAAUCCCAAAAAGCCGGUCCCAGUUCGGAUUGAGGUCUGCAACUCGACCUCAUGAAGUCGGAGUCGCUAGUAAUCGCAGAUCAGCAACGCUGCGGUGAAUACGUUCCCGGGUCUUGUACACACCGCCCGUCAAGUCAUGAAAGUCGGUAACAC